rnacentral:rRNA from 1 species
UACGUAGGGGGCGAGCGUUGUCCGGAAUCAUUGGGCGUAAAGCGCGUGUAGGCGGCCCGGUAAGUCCGCUGUGAAAGUCCAGGGCUCAACCCUGGGAUGCCGGUGGAUACUGUCGGGCUCGAGUCCGGAAGAGGCGAGUGGAAUUCCUGGUGUAGCGGUGAAAUGCGCAGAUAUCAGGAGGAACACCAAUAGCGAAGGCAGCUCGCUGGGACGUGACUGACGCUGAGACGCGAAAGCGUGGGAGCA